GUUCCUGGCUCUCCUCACUCCAGCUCUGUAUAGCCACGCGCCCACGCAAUCAAUUUUUAAUUUUUUAUGAGGUCAGCUACACUUCAAUGGCUACUUCAUCUUUUGCGACUACCUUAUCUCGCUUUGGUCUCUUACGGUUAACCAGAAAUAAGCCAUCUUUAAUCCCAUUAUUUCUUCACCAAUCCAACUCAAAGAAUCCUAAUAGAUUAAGACUGUUUUCAAUGGCGUCGGAGCCGAAGGAAUCGCCCGCUAACAACCCCGGUCUACACACUACCAUCGAUGAAGCCACCAAAGGAUACAUCAUGCAACAAACCAUGUAUCGAAUUAAGGAUCCAAAAAUCAGUCUCGAUUUCUACUCUCGCGUAUUGGGCAUGUCGUUGCUUAAGAGGUUGGAUUUUCCUGACAUGAAGUUCAGCUUGUACUUUUUGGGCUAUGAGGAUACAACGUCAGCUCCAAAUGACCCAGUUGAAAGAACAGUUUGGACCUUUGGUCGGAAGGCUACAAUUGAACUAACUCAUAAUUGGGGUACUGAAAGUGAUCCUGACUUCAAAGGAUAUCACAAUGGAAAUUCUGAUCCUCGUGGCUUUGGACAUAUUGGUAUUACUGUGGAUGAUGUGUACAAAGCAUGCGAGAGAUUUGAACAUCUAGGAGUGGAGUUUGCAAAAAAACCUGAUGACGGAAAAAUGAAAGGGAUAGCUUUCAUCAAGGAUCCAGAUGGCUAUUGGAUUGAAAUUUUUGAUCUCAAGACUAUUGGGAAAACAGUUAGCAGUGCAGCCUGAGAUAAGGACAAACAAACUUAAGGCUUUGAACUUCGCGGCCAUAGAGAUGACUGUACUACCACUGAAUCAAAGCUCAUUGGUAGCUUUUGAUGUGCUUUGACAACUUAAAGGGUCUGCUUUCUCUCUUUCAAAGGAAAAAUUGGAGCAUUUCGAGACUCAGAGAGAAGAAUUUCCUUGAAUUCGCCCAUGGAAAACUUGGUUUGGUAACAAAAUUUCUGUUGUAGUUUUCCAUAUGUCGCGUUGGUUUGCUUAUGCUUGUCAACAUUGGAUCAUAAAAACAGAAGGAUAAAAGUGGAACAUGUAGUUGUGGUAGAUGACCUAUGUUCCUAUUUAACAAAUGAAAGUCUUGAUUAGUUAUUUCUGUUGGUAGAUGACCUGGCCCCCAACUUGGUUGGAACCUACCAUUAGCCAAUAACAAAUGACUAGUGCUGCUUUAUUAUAAUUUUGUUAAAUUUUCUUCUUCGUUCUUGUGACACAAUAAUGCUUAGCAUUAAGGCUUUUUGUACAAUAGUGGAUUUUACAGCUAGAUGGACAGUCAGAAUUUUGCUUUCACGACA